GACGAACCGAGCGAACGUUGUUCGGAAUCACUGGGCUUAAAGGGCGCGUAGGCGGGUGCUCAAGUCCGGGGUGAAAUCCCACAGCUCAACUGUGGAACUGCCUCGGAUACUGGGCGUCUCGAGGGUGGCAGGGGUAUGCGGAACUAUCGGUGGAGCGGUGAAAUGCGUUGAUAUCGAUAGGAACUCCGGUGGCGAAGGCGGCAUACUGGUCCACUUCUGACGCUGAGGCGCGAAAGCCAGGGGAGCGAACGGG
rnacentral:rRNA from 2 species